AAACUAACAAGGAUUCCCCUAGUAACGGCGAGUGAAGCGGGAAGAGCUCAAAUUUAUAAUCUGGCGUCUUCGGCGUCCGAGUUGUAACCUCGAGAAGUGUUUUCUGUGCCGGCCCGCAUGUAAGUCUGUUGGAAUACAGCGUCAUAGUGGUGAGAACCCAGUACGCCAUGCGGACCCCGGUGCUCUGUGAUACACUUUCGAAGAGUCGAGUUGUUUGGGAAUGCAGCUCAAAUUGGGUGGUAAAUUCCAUCUAAAGCUAAAUAUUGGUGGGAGACCGAUAGCAAACAAGUACCGUGAGGGAAAGAUGAAAAGCACUUUGGAAAGAGAGUUAACAGUACGUGAAAUUGUUGAAAGGGAAGCGCUUGAAGUCAGACAUGCCUUUACGGGCAGGCCAGCAUCAGUUUUCGAGGGUAAAAAAGGGUAGGAGGAACGUGGCGGCCUCGGUCGUGUUAUAGCCUCUUACUGGAUUUACCUUUGGGGACUGAGGAACGCAGGGUGCUUUUAGCGAGGGUCUCGACCCUUUCGCCCUUAGGAUGCUGGUAUAAUGGCUUUAAACGAC
rnacentral:rRNA from 1 species